rnacentral:lncRNA from 1 species
GGCUGAGAAAGUGUCUGAAAGAUAUUUUCCAUCCUCUGUUCACACAGGUCAGAAGAUUUUUGUUCUUGGUUAACAGCUGUUUUUCCCCAUUGUAUUCAUACAUUCUCAGUUUUCUGCUGACAGAUAUUUCUCUUCCCAGAAAUCCCAAAUAGGGGGAAAAAUCUGGCAUUUGUGCAGAAAGCCAUCUCAGCUGCAGAGCUACAAAUGAUUUGGUUAGCUGUUUUGCUGAGAGGAAAGAAGGAACGUCUCAAAGAAUGGAGGUCUGCUCUGAGAAUAAAGAAGUUGAUGAGAAAAGCAAGAAGAACUAAGAAUCUUCUUUGCAAGCCUUUUGAGUUCUGUGCCCUGCUGAUUAAAAGAAAGCCAUGGCCUCCCUAAUGAAAGGGUUGAUGAGUUAAGAAGAUACAAAAU